AUUGAACGCUGGCGGCAUGCCUUACACAUGCAAGUCGAACGGCAGCGGACCUUCGGGUGCCGGCGAGUGGCGAACGGUGAGUAAUAUAUCGGAACGUACCUUUCAGUGGGGGAUAACGUAGCGAAAGUUACGCUAAUACCGCAUAUUCUGUGAGCAGGAAAGCAGGGGAUCGCAAGACCUUGCGCUGAUUGAGCGGCCGAUAUCAGAUUAGCUAGUUGGUGAGGUAAAGGCUCACCAAGGCGACGAUCUGUAGCGGGUCUGAGAGGAUGAUCCGCCACACUGGAACUGAGACACGGUCCAGACUCCUACGGGAGGCAGCAGUGGGGAAUUUUGGACAAUGGGCGCAAGCCUGAUCCAGCCAUGCCGCGUGAGUGAAGAAGGCCUUCGGGUUGUAAAGCUCUUUCGGCCGGGAAGAAAUCGCACGGGUUAAUACCCUGUGUGGAUGACGGUACCGGAAUAAGAAGCACCGGCUAACUACGUG
rnacentral:rRNA from 1 species